ensembl:lncRNA
CCAGACUCCAGGUCCCUUGAGCAGUACCAAGGUGGCAAUUAACCCCACUUCACAGAUGGGAAAGUACAGGCACAGAGCAGUCCACCCAGCAGGUCUCCUGGGCAACCCACCCUGACGUCACUGGCAGCUCUGGCGGCUGGCCCAGGAGCUGAAGCAGCUGGUGGCCAGAUCAUGUUUCCAGGGAUCCUGAGAAGUUUCCUGGAAAGCAGGCUCCUCAACUUUCUGUGUGAUGGACAUAUGACAACUGAGGGGAAAUGUCCCUCCCAGGGCUCAAUUUCUCCAGCUGUAAAAUGGGACUGCGAAAUGGGCCAACCUGCAGGCAGGCUAUCAGGCAGAAGCAACGAGAGCUUAUUAAAC